CCUACGGGCGGCAGCAGUGGGGGAUAUUGCACAAUGGGGGGAACCCUGAUGCAGCGACGCCGCGUGGGUGAAGGAGUGCUUCGGCAUGUAAAGCCCUAUCGGCAGGGCAGAAGCAAGACGGUACCUGACUAAGAAGUCCCGGCUAACUACGUGCCAGCAGCCGCGGUAAUACGUAGGGGGCGAGCGUUAUCCGGAUUCACUGGGUGUAAAGGGAGCGUAGACGGCCAUGCAAGCCAGGGGUGAAAGCCCGGGGCCCAACCCCGGGACUGCCCUUGGAACUGUGCGGCUAGAGUGCGGGAGGGGCAGGCGGAAUUCCUGGUGUAGCGGUGAAAUGCGUAGAUAUCAGGAGGAACACCGGCGGCGAAGGCGGCCUGCUGGACCGCGACUGACGUUGAGGCUCGAAAGCGUGGGGAGCGAACAGGAUUAGAUACCCCUGUAGUC
rnacentral:rRNA from 1 species